rnacentral:rRNA from 1 species
UAACGUAGCGAAAGCUACGCUAAUACCGCAUACGAUCUAUGGAUGAAAGCGGGGGAUCGCAAGACCUCGCGCGAUUGGAGCGGCCGAUAUCAGAUUAGCUAGUUGGUGAGGUGAAGGCUCACCAAGGCGACGAUCUGUAGCUGGUCUGAGAGGACGACCAGCCACACUGGAACUGAGACACGGUCCAGACUCCUACGGGAGGCAGCAGUGGGGAAUUUUGGACAAUGGGCGAAAGCCUGAUCCAGCAAUGCCGCGUGCAGGAUGAAGGCCUUCGGGUUGUAAACUGCUUUUGUACGGAACGAAAAAGCUUUCUCUAAUAAAGAGAGCUCAUGACGGUACCGUAAGAAUAAGCACCGGCUAACUACGUGCCAGCAGCCGCGGUAAUACGUAGGGUGCGAGCGUUAAUCGGAAUUACUGGGCGUAAAGCGUGCGCAGGCGGUUAUGUAAGACAGGUGUGGAAUCCCCGGGCUCAACCUGGGACCUGCAUUUGUGACUGCAUAGCUAGAGUACGGUAGAGGGGGAUGGAAUUCCGCGUGUAGCAGUGAAAUGCGUAGAUAUGCGGAGGAACACCGAUGGCGAAGGCAAUCCCCUGGACCUGUACUGACGCUCAUGCACGAAAGCGUGGGGAGCAAACAGGAUUAGAUACCCUGGUAGUCCACGCCCUAAACGAUGUCAACUGG